CGAAGGCCUCUGGUAAAUUGGGCCAUCGGCCGGCCCAUUAUACGGACGAGCGACCGUGUCCAUCGUGUCCAGAAGACUGGUUGCUGCGAGAGAAAAAAGGGGAUCAGACAGAGGAGGGGAUCGAUGCAGCCACUGCGGGUGAUGCGGGGAUCGCUAGAUCCAGUCAACGCGGGCGAUCGAUCUACAAAGGACAAAAGAGGCGAUCCAGGCAACGCAGCUGAUUCAAGCCGACCCUUCGUCUGCAAGAAACUGCUCCACGGAGAUUUCAAGGGCGCAAUUAUUCUUCAGUUUUUCUGCACAAUUCAUGGCGGGGGUGAUGUGCAUCUCCUUUCCUCUACCUCCGGGUACAGGUCUGUGUAUAUAUAUAUGUGUUACCUCCCCUACCAAGCCAAUACUCCCGCAGCAGAGCAUGAACCAUGAUGCUCGUCUAGAUCCCUAUAUCUCUGUUCAGUUCAUGUAAGAUUCUUCCAGCAAGCAAUUAUAUAUCGUAAUAUGCUCUCAUUCCAAAAAUUCAACAUACAGAUUCCUUGUUUUUUUUGCGGGUGAGAUUCCUUGUUGUCCUUUUACAUAAUCAGCCGCAUGAUUCUUUUCCCUACCACUGGUGGCUUCAAGUGUCAGCUGCAAGUAUUUUUUUUCUUCAUAAAUAUUUAGAUGGAGAUUUCUUUCUUUCUUUGGUCUAUCCCUUCAAUUGUCACAGAGAACAAAUCGUUAUUUUUAUCCAGGACUACCAAGUUAAAGGUGCAUACAUUCCUCAAGAAUAUUGGCCGGUCAACCAAGCCUUAUUGAGAAAUUAGUUAGCCUCUCCAUGGCUCAGGCGGAAUAUUCGAUUCGGAAAUGUAUGUGGUGUGCUUUCAUUCUUCAACUAUGUGGUCAGGAAACUAUACCCUCACAGUUGGCAAAUUCAGGCACCCUCAUAUUCUCCGUUUUUUAUUCUAGCUGAGCUUUUGCGUCACAGCAACAGAACACUUACAUGCUGAAGAUGUUAGUAUUUUGCAAAAAAAAUUGUGCAUUGAAGAUUAGUUAUGAUAUUUUCGGUUCCACACUAUUGUUUGGUAAUUUUUUAACGCCUUUAAUUUGAUUAGUUAUGAUAUUUUCGGUUCCACACUAUUGUUUGGUAAUUUUUUAAUGCCUUUAAUUUGAUAAAAGGGACAUCGUGUAUUCUCACAAAAAACUAUGAGUUCAUUGGUGUAUGAGAGCAUGCCGGUUCAUUUUUAACAAAAUCGGGAGCAGAAUGCUCCUUAACUUGAAAAACAUAGAUGUACAAGAUUUUUUUUCAAAAUGUGUUGAUGGGACGGAAACCCAUCAUUGUAUGUUUCCAUCUCCGGCCUAUGGGCGUCCUUCCCAGUAAAAGAGGUUUUGCAUCCCUUGGUUAUAAUUCUGGUUUUAGUACUUAACAUUCUCUCCACUUACAUUAUUGGUUAUUUACUGGAUCAUGUGAAAUCUACUCAUAAUUAGACACCAAAUCAUCAUGUAGCAAAAUUCCUUGAAUCACACUGUAUUGUUGCUAUGUUAACAAUGCCUCGUGGAAGCUUGCCAAUAUCAAAUACUUAACUUAUGAAUUUCCUUCCUUUUCCGGUUCAUAACUAUGUGAAUUGUGUGAAACUGCAACCACAUUCUUCCAUGUCUGCUCUUCUGAAUUAUGAACACUGCAAUGACUCUUCUAAGGUGUUCACAUUGCUUGGUAUUUUCAUUUGUUAUUAUGAUGAUAGUUGUGCUAAAAUAGGCAGCUUAGCUAUUGCUUAGAUCAUUGUUAAUUACUAUUUCCUUUAUAAGAAAAUUUCACCAAGUAAUCUAUAUAAUAUGCAUUCACAGGUUAUAUAUUGAAUAUCUGAAUGGACCUUUCCUUCUUGUGAUACUAGCAAGACAGUGUAGCCAUUUGAUUAAAGGAAACAUGAUUUAACUUGUGAAGCUGAGCACCCAAACAGGAUUUAAUUUGUGAAGCUGAGCACCCAAACAGGAUUUAACUUGUGAAGUUGAGCACCUAGCACCAUAAAAAAUUGGGACAAAUAUAAAACCAACAUGUAGUGAACUAUUGUCAGAAUGCAUGGGUAUUAUCAGUACGACCCACUGUAAGUGAGCUUAAAGGGCCAGCUUUUCAUUGAUCAAUGAUUGAGAUCUGUCUUCACAUGUGAACAUUCAGAAUUUGAGUUAUUUAUUUCACUAAUACAAAUUUGUUAUGUGUUUACCAUGGACAUGUGUGUAAAUUAAAAGAAAGCGUCCUUAUUUAUGUUGAGUAAUUUCGUACAAGGAACAUCUUUUAUACUUGUAUAAGUCUUAUGAGUAUGAUGACACACCAACAAUCUGAUCUUUCAGUGUAAUUUUUAGAUUACUCAGAAAGAAACACCUAACAUAUAACUGAUAGAACAUAAGCAUUACUUAUUUCCCUACCAUAGUGGUACCAUGUAAGACACUAUCUACAACUGUUGAGAUGUGAUUGCAUCCUAAUGUUAUUGUCACUUCAGUUCUCUGCUUUGAAAUCCGAAGUUUGAGAACCUCAUAACCCUAGGAGGUAAUCUUUAUCAAAACAAACAAACAAACUACAAAGGUAAAUUGACAAAAUGUUGCAUUGUACUCAUAGAUAUAUUUUGUUUCCUCUUUAUGGUCCCCAAAGAGAUGAUGUCGUAUUUUGAAACACCAUUGCAUAAGGGAGUGGGUGGUCGUCUACUCUAGCAUGGAAGAACACCGAGUAUGAAUGGCACUGUGUGGUAGAACAAGUUUUUGGAAUAUCAGUGUAAUGUUACUGGAUGAAGCAGUGUAAAGCACUCUGACAACUAUUGAAGCAUUUCUUUUAUUCUUUUUGGUGAUAUUGA